rnacentral:rRNA from 1 species
GACAGAGGGUGCAAACGUUGUCCGGAAUUAUUGGGCGUAAAGAGCUUGUAGGCGGUCUGUCGCGUCUGCUGUGAAAAUCCGGGGCUCAACCCCGGACUUGCAGUGGGUACGGGCAGACUAGAGUGUGGUAGGGGAGACUGGAAUUCCUGGUGUAGCGGUGAAAUGCGCAGAUAUCAGGAGGAACACCGAUGGCGAAGGCAGGUCUCUGGGCCACUACUGACGCUGAGAAGCGAAAGCAUGGGGAGCGAACAGG